ACUGGAAUUCCUGGUGUAGCGGUGAAAUGCGCAGAUAUCAGGAGGAACACCGAUGGCGAAGGCAGGUCUCUGGGCUGUAACUGACGCUGAGGAGCGAAAGCAUGGGGAGCGAACAGGAUUAGAUACCCUGGUAGUCCAUGCCGUAAACGUUGGGCACUAGGUGUGGGGGACAUUCCACGUUUUCCGCGCCGUAGCUAACGCAUUAAGUGCCCCGCCUGGGGAGUACGGCCGCAAGGCUAAAACUCAAAGGAAUUGACGGGGGCCCGCACAAGCGGCGGAGCAUGCGGAUUAAUUCGAUGCAACGCGAAGAACCUUACCAAGGCUUGACAUGAACCGGAAUGAUGCAGAGAUGUGUCAGCCACUUGUGGCCGGUUUACAGGUGGUGCAUGGUUGUCGUCAGCUCGUGUCGUGAGAUGUUGGGUUAAGUCCCGCAACGAGCGCAACCCUCGUUCCAUGUUGCCAGCGGGUUAUGCCGGGGACUCAUGGGAGACUGCCGGGGUCAACUCGGAGGAAGGUGGGGACGACGUCAAAUCAUCAUGCCCCUUAUGUCUUGGGCUUCACGCAUGCUACAAUGGCCGGUACAAAGGGUUGCGAUACUGUGAGGUGGAGCUAAUCCCAAAAAGCCGGUCUCAGUUCGGAUUGAGGUCUGCAACUCGACCUCAUGAAGUUGGAGUCGCUAGUAAUCGCAGAUCAGCAACGCUGCGGUGAAUACGUUCCCGGGCCUUGUACACACCGCCCGUCAAGUCACGAAAGUUGGUAACACCCGAAGCCGGUGGCCUAACCCCUUGUGGGAGGGAGCCGUCGAAGGGAC
rnacentral:rRNA from 1 species